rnacentral:rRNA from 1 species
AUUGAACGCUGGCGGCAGGCCUAACACAUGCAAGUCGAGCGAGUGGCGGACGGGUGCGGAAUACAUCGGAAUCUACUCUGUCGUGGGGGAUAGCGUAGGGAAACUUACGCUAAUACCGCAUACGAUUGAAUGAGCCGAUGUCGGAUUAGCUAGUUGGCGGGGUAAAGGCCCACCAAGGCGACGAUCCGUAGCUGGUCUGAGAGGAUGAUCAGCCACACUGGAACUGAGACACGGUCCAGACUCCUACGGGAGGCAGCAGUGGGGAAUAUUGGCAAAUGGGCGCAAGCCUGAUCCAGCCAUACCGCGUGGGUGAAGAAGGCCUUCGGGUUGUAAAGCCCUUUUGUUGGGAAAGCGUUACCCGCAGAAGAAGCACCGGCUAACUCCGUGCCAGCAGCCGCGGUAAUUC